rnacentral:rRNA from 1 species
GACGAACGCUGGCGGCGUGCUUAACACAUGCAAGUCGAACGAUGAAGCCGGAGCUUGCUCUGGUGAAUUAGUGGCGAACGGGUGAGUAACACGUGAGUAACCUGCCCUUGACUCUGGGAUAGCUGCUAGAAAUGGUAGCUAAUACCGGAUACGACCCUCGGAGGCAUCUCCAGGGGGUGGAAAGAAUUUCGGUCAAGGAUGGACUCGCGGCCUAUCAGCUAGUUGGUGAGGUAACGGCUCACCAAGGCGACGACGGGUAGCCGGCCUGAGAGGGUGACCGGCCGCACUGGGACUGAGACACGGCCCAGACUCCUACGGGAGGCAGCAGUGGGGAAUAUUGCACAAUGGGCGCAAGCCUGAUGCAGCAACGCCGCGUGAGGGAUGACGGCCUUCGGGUUGUAAACCUCUUUUAGUAGGGAAGAAGCGAAAGUAACGGUACCUGCAGAAAAAGCACCGGCUAACUACGUGCCAGCCGCCGCCGUAA